rnacentral:tRNA from 1 species
GGUGACUCAAUGGUAGAGUGCUUGCCUUGCAUGCAUGAAGCCCUGGGUUCGAUUCCUCAGUACCA